rnacentral:lncRNA from 1 species
UAAACAUAUUCAGCGACAAAGGAUUACAAGACUUUGAGGUGAAGUUGCCGUUAACCUUUGAUAUAGUAUACAUAAGUGAGGACAAUACAUUAGCUGUUACAACUGAUUCAUCAAAGUGUAUUACCAUUAUAGACGUGGAGAGGAAACAAAUCAAGAAAACAAUUUCACUUGAUUCGUCAGUUAUGGCAUAGCACUUAAAGAUAAUCGAUUGAUUUAUUACGUUGGAAACAAAGGUAUACGAAUGAUCAAUCUCAACGACGAAUCUACAAGUGACAUAGUUCGGGACAAAAUGCUAACUGGCUGUUCCAUUGCAACUUUUAAGGACAAAUUAUAUCACACAAAUAGUGGAAAAAAUACAGUUACGUGUUAUAAUCUACAAGGUCAACUACAAUGGAAAUUUCAAAAUGAAGGCGUUCUGCAGAAACCUCAGGGUAUUGAUGUAGACAAUGAUGGCAAUGUGUACGUAGUGGGGAGUGAUUCACACAACGUUGUAGUUAUCUCCCCUGAUGGAACACGCCAUAGAGAAAUAAUCACAGCAAGUGAUGGUCUAAAGAUCCUAUGUCAAUUCAUUAUAGUGGUUUUAAGAAUCAGUUGUUAGUCGCGAACUGGAGUUACAACGCUCAUUUGUUUAGUUUUAUCUGAAGAGUUAACAGUUCAUUAGAUCAUUAUCUCAUCUGAGAUAUUUCAUAUAUAAUAACUGGAAUACAGAAACCUGUUUUGUCUAUUUUGUCAAUUAUAUUACAAAUAAGUAUUUGAUUGAAACACAAGGUGGAACGAAAAAACAAAGCAAUAACAAUAUAUCUGUACAUAAUACGAUAAAUAUUGAUAAUAAUCAAUGUUUUGAUUUAUCUAGGGAUUUGUUUGGGUUUACAAAAUAAAAAUUUGACAGUGUCUCUAUCAGCGCAAAUACGAUUCACAUUUUGAAA